AGAAAUCAGCUAUCAGGCUUUCAUUGACCUCAAAAAUCAAGACUUCACCCUACUUAUAUAAUUCAACAUUAGGCAAAUGACUGUGAAAGAUACCCAUCAGUACCUGCAGCUUUCACCUUCUUCCUUCAUUUCAUUUUCAUUGUCCAAAUUGGAGAGACUCCAUCCAGUCUUUUUCUUGAAUGAUUAGAAUUCACUGUGAGGAGGCCCAAGUGACAUUGAAAUUAUAUAGAAGUGAGGGUAUCUUCAUUGGCCAAGACAAUAUCACUUUGUUACAACCCUCUUCUAUCUGCAAAAGGAUCUGCCAUCAAGUGUCCAGCUCAUUUUUGCUUCAGGAUUACCUUACCUAGGUAAUAUCAAAAAGAUCCAUUUUGUCAGUGGUGUUGUUUACACAAACAGAGCAUGAUGACAAAAGGAAGAAAAUAAAUUUCUCCUAGAGUGAAAAUGCA